CGGGGCGGCGUCCGCCCCGCUGGGGUCCCCGCGUCCCGAGGAGCGGGGCCAGAAACCCUGGGUGUGGUUUGCUUGAGAGUUUCCGAGUCCCGGGGCAGGACUGGUGGGUCCCGAGCCCCUACGGCAGACCUGGGCCCCCUGGUGGCUGAACCGCGUGGACGCACAGCUGACGCCCCUGGAAGGCGGUCUCGCUCGUCCUCUGGUUUAUAAAGAGGUGCUUGGGAAGCCGUCCUCUCCUUCUUCCCCCACUGCCACCCACCCACCCCCUCGCGAGCGUGGGGAAGAGGCCUGCCGGGUACUGCUCCUUUCCUGUCUUCGGGUCCGACCACGGUCCCGGGAGGAAACACACCCUCUGAUGCUGUGUCCUCUGUUCCCGGAGCCAUGCCACGCCAGCCUGGGCCACAUUCUCUGAAAGCAUCUCUUCCUCAUUACCGGAAUUGGACCCCAGCUUCCUAAGCCUCAGUUGUACCCAGAGGAAACCGAGGAUCAGAGAGAAGACACAACUUGCCCCAGUGCUCAGAGCAAGAUGUAAAGCCAGGGUCACUGUCCUCAGCUUUUUGCCUUUUUAAAGCAUCAGCUCCACGAAAGAGCACGUGAGCUGCAGAGGGAAGUCACUGGUUCAGACUGUGUUUGGAACUUCUUCCGUGGGGAAAGGAGAAGACUAGCACCCACGCCCAGGGCUUGUUGCCAAGAUUUGGUAGGCACUGAACUUGUUCCACCCAGGAUCUGACUUUCACUCGGCACCCAAUACACCAGAGCUGUGAUCUCACUGCCUAGUCGGGGACCAGAAAGACUGUAAAGAAGCCUCGGGAGACCCGGUCUCCCAGCAGGCUGGGAGGGAACCCUGGGGAAAUCCGGCUGCUGCCUUGGAGAGGAUGAGACCGGGUUUGAGAAGAGCAGAUGACAGGUAGCGCUGCCCUAUGUUGAAGGGGAUGUCUACGCCUGCAUCAGUCCCGGUGCCCAUGAUGUGGCUGUGCCCUCCGGAGCCUUCCUGCAGGGUGGCUGGUGACCCGUUGGAGGUGGAGAGGAGGCAAGAGGUGGUAGGUUCCCGGGACCUGAAUGUCCUGGGCAGAACGUCAGCCGCAGAGCCCCUCCCGUUUGGACACACACGCACUCACACACACUUGGUGGGACACCUGAGGAUGUGCCACACAGGCUCCUCUGGGUUCCACUAGGAACCAGGACACUCGACCCUGAACCAGCAGCCCACAUCUUCUCUGCUCCAGCCCGUUCAAGUGCUUGUGUGUAUCUGGGUAAGCCAGGGGGUACCCUGGGGUCCUCCCCCAGGGACUUGCCGCUCCGUGAGGUCCCCUCGGCGUCUCUCCAAGCUUUUGGGGUGGAGGGACACUGGCGGUAGCUGCUGGGGGGCGGUCAACAGGAGUUUCCCAGGAGGGGUGGCCAGGACAAGGACUUGUUACAUCAUAU